UGGAAAUGAAUUAGAUUUUCUUAAUAUAUCUGUCUACGCCCAGCAAUGUUCUGCCAUGGAUGGCAGAACAAAUUCGAACGAACCACGGACGGUUCGUUUCGAAUGUUUGCGUCACCUCUUAUCACACUAAAUCAGAUAUAUUUAGAAAUUCUUAUUCAUGUA
rnacentral:ncRNA from 1 species